ensembl:lncRNA
GAAGCAAAAUACUUAUAAUCAGAAUGAGUGAGUGACUCUCAGCUCCUGCUGUGCUGAGAACCUCACAAAUGCUUUUUUCCCUUAUCAUUCAGGUAAUGCUAGAAUUCUGCAGUGCACUGAUAACUUACACAAACUCCUGCUGAAAUAAAAAGAAAUCUUUCCACUUAUUUCAAAACUCCAUAUGUGAGGUCAUACAUCUUGGCUAAAUCAGAUUGUGCGUUAAAACCCCGCUAUUAGAUAACAAUUUUUUUUUCUUUUUCAUCUGAAGGCAUCACUUUCUAGAAGAAAGUGACAAUAUUGGAAGUUAUGAACCUCAAAAACACUUGAAGUUUCUGGGUAUGUAUGUAGGAACAGUUUAAAAGGAAGAUAACAUGUUAAAUCACAUGGAUAUUCAGAUGACUGCAUUUGGAGAAUAGUCUUACCCCACUUCCAUAUGAAGAUGACUGCACAUAAGAAUCACAGAAUCGCAGGACUGUAGGGGCUGGAAGGGACCUCCAGAGAUCAUCAAGCACAGACCCCCUGCAAAGCAGGCCUCAGACAGCAAGCUACACAGGUACAAGACUCUACACUUGCGUUUGCCAAACCUCAUCUGGUUUAUUGUUGUCCAGCUCUGCAGUCUGUCUAUGACUUGCUGAAUGGUAGCAUGGCCUUCAGGUAUGUCAGCCACUCCUCCCAGCUUUGUAUCAUCGGUGUACUUACUGAGGGUAGACACUUUCCCCUCAUCAUGGUCACCAAUGAAGAUAUUAAACAAGACCAGACCCUGUUUAAAAAAUGGGAAACAUAUUUUGCUAAUAAUAUAGGGCUAGAUUUUGGUAGCAGAUUGAGGGGAAAUAGAAAAUUUCCACGCUUUAUGAACUUUGGCAUGUCCUCCUUUCUGGCACCACCAGGUAGGAGCCAGGGGUACAUUUACAGGAGGGGCACAUUUACUUUGUCCCAGACACUGUUGUCAAUAAAGUUGGUGCAGGAGGAUGGUUGCUCUAGUUUGCUGUUCAUGUGGACCAAAAGAUUCAUAGGAGGGAGAUUUAUGCCUGGAGUAAGCUCUGACUUGUUAGUUUUCUCUCUCAGCUAUGCCUAGAAGCGGAAGUUGGUCUCCUGAGUAUAGUAUAUUUGAAGAAAAUGAUUGCCCAGAGGUCUAAGUGAUGGACAGUUUUAUUGCAUCUAUCAUAAAUGUGUUUCCAGCUACAAAAUUUUCAAUUCAACUCAGGAGGUGAGGGGUAGAACAGUAAAUUUUAAAAUUUAAUUUGUGCAGACUAGAAACAUGUAAGGCCUACACAAUACUGCAUCUGAGCUACGAAAAUCUGCUCCUUUUGUGAUAGAAGCAUAUGGCUGCUCUCAAUCACAUUUGAACCUGAAGAUCUAGGACAGCCUUAAGAGGAAAAAGCAAAAGAGAAACAUGACACGAGGUCAAUUUUGACAGCUUAAAACUGUGGUAUCUGAAGAGCCAAUAGGAUUGCCUGAUUUCUCAGAACAUACAAUGGAUUAUAGGAUAAUACAGCCUGCAGGCACUCUCCUUGGAUUUAUGCCCAAGACAGACAACAGCAUAUGCUCAAGUACAAGGACAUCAGGGUAAUGGAAUAUAAAAAUUUGUGUGCUCAUCAUGUGAUGUGGGAAAGCAGCCAGAGGACUGUAUUCCCAAGGGGUAUUUCUAGGGGCUGCUGCCUGAUGUUCGGUGUUUGGUGCUUGGCCUCCGUAUGUAGUUAUCAUAUGGCAUGGAGUAUACAGCACUAGCGAGAAGAGAGGUGUCAGAUCACCUUCAAGCAUGAAGUGCUCCUGUCACAAGUAAACAAUGAGAGAUGUUAAAGACUAAUAAAUCUUCAUGAUGGAUCAGUACCAAAUGACUCAGGAAUGGUGAUUGUGUAAUUUUGAUUCAUUUGAGGAAAUGCUUGGUGCCUAAUGGCCCUCAAACAGCCGUCUGUGUAUUGAAAUUGUUAGUGUUGUAAUUGUGCAGGAUGCAACAGCAAAUUUUUGAAAGCAUGCUGUGGUACCUUUCUUUUAUGUUCUAUUUUAAUUUCUUGUUCUGGGUGUAGCUCUUUUCUCAGCAGAAGUGUGAGAAUGUCCAUAAGAGAGAAAUAUUAAAGGUGGUUAGUUCUCUUGAUUUUUUUUAUUUUUAUUUUUUGGGGGGUCCUUAAAGGAAAGGUAUUUUUGUCAUAAAAUGUAUCUGGUCUUUUUCUCUUAUAUUUAAAAGACAUAAAAGCUGUGGCUGAUACAGCAAUGCAUUUGUAUGCUAGAAAGGACUUAUUUAUAAAAGGAGCCAGACAACACAUACAGCAAAAUCCGGAGCUGAAGUUCUGCAUCUGGCAGACAAAUGAAGUUACAUGAAUGUUUCUGAAUGGUCAGUAGAGGGCUUCCAGAGCAGGGAAUCAUGCUUGGGACUCACCUACAAAUUCUGAUAUGAGGAAUGUUACUUAGCAGUGACCAGAAUUGCACUUUUGCACAAUGGGAAAGCGCCUCCCUGAAUUUGAGGGUUGUAAAGAGAAAUUAGUUCCCAGU